rnacentral:rRNA from 1 species
CGCCCGGUCCCAUUCCGAACCCGGAAGCUAAGGCCUGGCACGGCGAUGGUACUGCACCCGACAGGGUGUGGGAGAGUAGCACGCCGCCGCAU